rnacentral:rRNA from 1 species
GAUGAACGCUGGCGGCGUGCCUAACACAUGCAAGUCGAGCGAGAAAUGAAAGCAAGAAACUUCGGUAGAUUGCAUUCAUGGAAAGCGGCGGACGGGUGAGUAACGCGUAGGCAACCUGCCCUGUACAGGGGGAUAGCCAUUAGAAAUGAUGAUUAAAACCCCAUAAAGCGAGAUGUUCACAUGUAUAUUUCGCCAAAGAUUUAUCGGUAUAGGAUGGGCCUGCGUCUGAUUAGCUGGUUGGUGAGGUAACGGCUCACCAAGGCGACGAUCAGUAGCCGACCUGAGAGGGUGAUCGGCCACAUUGGAACUGAGACACGGUCCAAACUCCUACGGGAGGCAGCAGUGGGGAAUAUUGCACAAUGGGCGCAAGCCUGAUGCAGCAACGCCGCGUGAAGGAAGAAGGUCUUCGGGCCGUAAACUUCUGUCCUUGGGGAAGAAAGAAAUGACGGUACCCAUGGAGGAAGCCCCGGCUAACUACGUGCCAGCAGCCGCGGUAAUACGUAGGGGGCAAGCGUUAUCCGGAAUUAUUGGGCGUAAAGAGUGUGUAGGUGGUUUUUUAAGCGCAGGGUUUAAGGCAAUGGCUCAACCAUUGUUCGCCCUGCGAACUGGAAGACUUGAGUGCAGGAGAGGAAAGCGGAAUUCCUAGUGUAGCGGUGAAAUGCAUAGAUAUUAGGAGGAACACCAGUGGCGAAGGCGGCUUUCUGGACUGAAACUGACACUGAGACACGAAAGCGUGGGGGAGCAAACAGGAUUACGAUACCCUGGUAGUCCACGCCGUAAACGAUGAGCACUAGGUGUCGGGGUCGCAAGACUUCGGUGCCGCAGUUAACGCAUUAAGUGCUCCGCCUGGGGAGUACGCACGCAAGUGUAAAACUCAAAGGAAUUGACGGGGACCCGCACAAGCAGCGGAGCAUGUGGUUUAAUUCGAAGCAACGCGAAGAACCUUACCAGAGCUUGACAUCCUCCUGACAGGUCGGUAAGACGACUCUUCUUCGGACAGGAGAGACAGGUGGUGCAUGGUUGUUGUCAGCUCGUGUCGUGAGAUGUUGGGUUAAGUCCCGCAACGAGCGCAACCCUUGCCUUUAGUUGCCAUCAUUAAGUUGGGCACUCUAGAGGGACUGCCGGGGACAACUCGGAGGAAGGUGGGGAUGACGUCAAAUCAUCGUGCCCCUUAUGUUAUGGGGUACACACGUGAUACAAUGGCCGGUACAACAGGAAGCGAAACCGCGAGGUUGAGCGAACCCCAAAAGCCGGUCCCAGUUCGGACUGCAGGCUGCAACUCGCCUGCACGAAGUUGGAGUUGCUAGUAAUCGCGGAUCAGCACGCCGCGGUGAAUGCGUUCCCGGGUCU